rnacentral:rRNA from 1 species
AUUCUACGGGAGGCAGCAGUGGGGAAUAUUGGACAAUGGGGGCAACCCUGAUCCAGCCAUGCCGCGUGAGUGAUGAAGGCCUUAGGGUUGUAAAGCUCUUUCACCGGGGAAGAUAAUGACGGUACCCGGAGAAGAAGCCCCGGCUAACUUCGUGCCAGCAGCCGCGGUAAUAAU